UGGGAGAUGGAGGAGUCAACAUGGCAGAAAAGAGAGAGAAGAUGGAAGUGAGGAAACAGAAGUAGACAGAAAUUUGAUAAGAAGGGAAAAGUGACCAUGCAGAUGUAGAAGACAGAUGGAGUGCAAAGGAGGAAGGAAUACACACAUGCGAGGCCAGCACUAUAGCCCAACAGACUGCAGUAAGCCAGCCAGGCUGGGGGCCUGCCCAACAGGAGCAGCAUUCUGCCAAGGGGAGGGGGAGAGGCCUGGAGGACGGAGGAGGGCCUUCAAGAUUCUAAACUUCAAGUUCAGCCCCAGAGCCCUGCCAGGUGAAUGUGCUCACUGAGUAGCAGAAGACCAGGUUUUCUUCUUCAAACAAAGAUAUCCAGGAGUCUACCUUGAGAAUUCAAAGGGAUAUCCAUGACAAUGUGAGGAGUUCCAUUAGCGAUUCCUGUCCUGAUUUCAGAGCUCUUUGAUGCUUCCAAACCUGAGAGAGAGAAAAAAAAUGGAGAGAAACAUCAGGAAAUCUUUCCUCGGGGGCAUCCUCCACAGGCCUUCAGCUGAGGACACAUUUCUUUACCAGCUAACUGCCCGACCAUGCCCCUACUGCCCCUGGCUCCCUCCCUGCCAUCCGACACUGCUCCACCGUUCCACAGGAGGUUACAGGAAUGCUUGGCAAAGAAUCAUCUGAGCUUCAUCAGUGACAGCUGUGUCUUCUGUCUUUGCCUCAAUCUGGAGAAGAAUACUUCGGGCUGAACAACACAGUGGCCACCAGAGACCCAUUUUUAAAACCCCCUUCCAUUCCUUCUUCAUUCCUACCAGUCAUCAUUUGUGGAUUCGUCUGUCACUGUGGCUUGGAAACUUGGCUCUAGAGAAGAUAGUGGAGGCCCCCCCCUAAGGAAUCUCCUGACUGUUGGAAGGUGCCAACUAUAACUAUAACUCAUUUUGAAGGAGCCAACAGCUCUGGUGCCAUGACAAACCUGCGUCCCCGAAGCCCCUCUGCAGUUAGAUUGGGUGCUCACCAUUCAGGACACUGUCUCACAAAUGGGGAGCUACCUUGACCCAUAUAGUAUUCUCCCAGUGAUGCUUUGGAAAGAACAGAGCACAAAGGCCAAAUUUCCUGAGAGAGGGUUGGCCUUGCAGGUGAGCACAUGUCCUGGUUGUCCUUUGCCCUUCCUGGCCCUGGCUUGGGUUUGAGAGCAGAGAUUACAGGAUUUUUGUUCUAGACUUAGUUGUUGCAAUGAUGAAGACAGCCCUCCUGCCAAGUCCAGCAAGGUACUUGUAUGCCAAGACCAGCCCAUCCAAGAGCUGGCUUAUGUGCCCAGUGUGCUUGUACGGCACACACCCACCCACAGUGGAGCAGAGUGAAUGGAUAGAAGAUCCACAGGCUAGAUGAGUCAUCACCUCUGUUGCUUACUUGGGGAGAGAAACCACAAACCACCGAGAGGCUUACAUUUCCUUGUUUCAAUCAGGCUGUUCACGUGGCACCUGAAAGGAAGAUUAACUAGAUGCUAAAAUGCACUUCUGGAGUCCAAUUCCAUUGACAGGGAAAGCUUCCAUGUACCCCAAGACUCCAUUGGGAGAAAACAGGCUACAAUUCCAA